GACGAACGCUGGCGGCGUGCCUAACACAUGCAAGUCGAGCGGAGAUAAUAGCAAUAUUAUCUUAGCGGCGGACGGGUGAGUAACGCGUGGGUAACCUGCCUUAUACAGUGGGAUAACACAGGGAAACUUGUGCUAAUACCGCAUAAUACCAUUGGGUGGCAUCAUCUGGUGGUCAAAGGAGUAAUCCGGUAUAAGAUGGACCCGCGUCCGAUUAGCUAGUUGGAGGUGUAACGGACCACCAAGGCGACGAUCGGUAGCCGAACUGAGAGGUUGAUCGGCCACAUUGGGACUGAGACACGGCCCAGACUCCUACGGGAGGCAGCAGUGGGGAAUAUUGCGCAAUGGGGGAAACCCUGACGCAGCAACGCCGCGUGAAGGAUGAAGGUUUUCGGAUUGUAAACUUCUUUAGUCGGGGACGAACAAAUGACGGUACCCGAAGAAUAAGCCACGGCUAACUACGUGCCAGCAGCCGCGGUAACAC
rnacentral:rRNA from 1 species